rnacentral:rRNA from 1 species
UACGUAGGGUGCAAGCGUUAAUCGGAAUUACUGGGCGUAAAGCGUGCGCAGGCGGUUAUGCAAGACAGAUGUGAAAUCCCCGGGCUUAACCUGGGAACCGCAUUUGUGACUGCAUAGCUGGAGUACGGCAGAGGGGGAUGGAAUUCCGCGUGUAGCAGUGAAAUGCGUAGAGAUGCGGAGGAACACCGAUGGCGAAGGCAGCCCCCUGGGUCGACACUGACGCUCAGGCACGAAAGCGUGGGGAGCAAACAGG